AACGAACGCUGGCGGCAGGCUUAACACAUGCAAGUCGAACGCCCCGCAAGGGGAGUGGCAGACGGGUGAGUAACGCGUGGGAACAUACCCUUUCCUGCGGAAUAGCUCUGGGAAACUGGAAUUAAUACCGCAUACGCCCUACGGGGGAAAGAUUUAUCGGGGAAGGAUUGGCCCGCGUUGGAUUAGCUAGUUGGUGGGGUAAAGGCCUACCAAGGCGACGAUCCAUAGCUGGUCUGAGAGGAUGAUCAGCCACAUUGGGACUGAGACACGGCCCAAACUCCUACGGGAGGCAGCAGUGGGGAAUAUUGGACAAUGGGCGCAAGCCUGAUCCAGCCAUGCCGCGUGAGUGAUGAAGGCCUUAGGGUUGUAAAGCUCUUUCACCGAUGAAGAUAAUGACGGCAGUCGGAGAAGAGGCCCCGGCUAACUUCGUGCCAGCCGCCGCCGUAAAAC
rnacentral:rRNA from 1 species